GUUUCUGGCCAUUCUGCUGAAAUUGUAUAAAAGCCAGUCCACGCUUUGAAAAACCUCGAAUAGCUUUCACUUCCCUUCGCAGACUGCAAUGUUUCCUUCAAAGAUCCGAGCUUUCUUCGUCGUCGUGGUACUUUUGCUAAAAAUGGUCGAGUUACUGCCCGAAGCACAUGGCAAUCAUACAAGAAUUCGGUGCCUGGUUCAUGACUGCGUUCAGUACCCAAAUGAAUCUUCGUUCCCCGAUUGUGGGGUGGGAUGCUUUUGUAAAAGUUACAACGAGUGGACUGAUAACAAGAAAAGCAUAGCGGGUCAUUGCGAAGUGGAGCGAUAAGCCUUAUGAUGAUAAGCCUUUUCAUGACGCUGUUGAUGGUGACAUAUGGUGUGUACUAGCGCAAGGGCCAAUGUUGACGAAGCAGCAUCGAAGAGAUUGUGCGUGCCUAGAUGCGGCAUUCAAAUAAUAAUAAAUAUAAUCAUUUGAAGUUUUGAA
rnacentral:lncRNA from 1 species